rnacentral:lncRNA from 14 species
AUGACAGCUUUAUUGCUGUUGCAUGGGCAACAUAUUGUCUUUGAUUGGGAAAUAGGCUGUGGCCUUACAGAAAGACUUGGUGUGAGAACCAUAUGGAUAGGAAGAACUAACCUAGACCCAAGAUGCAAGUUCACGGAUUGCAAGACAGGAGGCCAAACGCUGAAACGGCAUCUGACAAAAAUCUGCCAGGGCUUAUCUUGGCUGCAUAUUUUGCAUUCAUUUUGCAUGCAUUCCACUAGAGCAAACUAUAUGCCUGAAACCACACUGUGUGUCCUGCAACGUGG